GGAUGUUGUGAUAGAGGUAUAGAGGUCAGAGGACAGCUUACACAAGUCUAUUCUUUCCUUCCACCAUGUGGAGUCCUGGGGCUUGAGCUCAUGCUAUAAGGCUUGGUGGUAGGCACCUUUACCUGCUGAGCCAUCUACCCACCACACUUCUUGUUUCUUAAUUCUGCUGGUUAGUCUGGGUCUUUUUAGUGAUUAGUUGGGCCUAGUUACAUUUCAGGUUAUCAUUAGGAAGAACUUACUGGGAUCCACUGACCCCUAGUGAUCCUGCCUAGAACCGAGCCUGCCCAUGCCAUCUCCACACCCCCAGGCCUAGCUCCUGACACAAAGCUCGUACACACUGGCUUUUCCUGUGAGUGCCCCAAUAACAAAUCCUGUUUGUAUCAUCUCAAUGCUCCCAGGCCUACCUCUUGGUGUGCAGCUUCAGCACCAGCCAAGCAAGAGGCAGGAUAGAAUCUUACAUCAGACACACAAACAAAGAGCAAAGUCUAUGUGCCCAAGUCACGUUGUAAAAACACCAACAGUAUUAAAGACCAAACAGCAUGCACCCCUAAACCCAUUGAUCCCAUAUAAAUAUUUUCUGAUGAGAAUUACCUAGAUGAACCCCGGAACAUAGAAUUUAUAAGAACAAUCAUAAACUUGGUCAAAGAAUGAAUAGAAUCCAAAGAAGACACAAACAAACUCAAUGGGGAACCAAUAAAUGCCUGAAUGAUGUCUAAGAAAGACAAAUAUAAAGCUAAAUGAAAUGAUAAAAAAAUUCAGGAUUUGAAAACAAAAUCUAGUAAAGAGAUAGAAAUAUUGAUGAGAACUCAAGCUGACGUAAAGAUGGAAUUGAAAAACUCAAACACUCACUUAGAAAACUCAGGGGAAAACUUUGCAAGGAGAAUGGAUCUAGUAGAAGAGAGGACAUCAGAACUUGAAGAUAAAGUAGAGGAAAUAUGCAACUCAAGCAAAGAAUAUUUUAAAAAAUGAAAAACAUAUGAAAGGAACAUGCAGGAACUAUUGGACUAUUGGAAAACAACAAGUCUUCAAUUAUAGGCAUAGAAGAGGAAUCCCAGGUCAAAGGCAUAACCCAGAUUUUCAACUCCCUAACUCUGUUUAUAAAACGCAACAAAAAAACCAAAACUGUUUUCUGUUGAGCAUAGGUCCAAAAGUCCUCAAUAAAAUACCUGCAAGCCAAACACAAGCAUGUAUCAAAAAGAUCAAAUUGGCUUCGUCCUGAAGAUGCAGGGAUGGUUCAAUACCCAUAGGUCAAUCAAUGUGACAAAUCAGGAGACUUAGAGAUAAGAGUCAUGUGAUCAUUUCAAUAGACGCCUAGGAAGCCAUUGACAAAUCCAACUUCAUGACACAAGUCCCAGAGAGAGUAGGACCAGGCACAUAGAUGUCGAUGAAUUUUUCUUUUAAACCCUGGGGUUAGUACACCACCCACCUCUCUUGCCUGUGUCCAUGCCCCGCCCUCAUGUCUGUCUCUGUGUGUGUGUGUGUGUGUGUGUGUGUGUUUGUGUGUCUGUAUCUGAGACCAAGCAUUAGGAGAUAAGAAAAGAAAAAGUAGUGAUGGUUUCCCCAGCUUUUUGGACUGCCACUCUUCUGACUAUAAGGUAUGGGUUCAUAGAUUCAGGUUUAGGUAUCAGAUGUCCUAAGCACUAUCACUGUCAUGGUCUCUUUGCUACUAUGGAGUUAAGUGAAUAUUGACACACAAGAGAACAGUCAAGAACCAGAUUGUAUAUCUUAGAACUCUCCAGUGUACCAGAGUACAACUCUGGGUUUUGGAAUGACUCAGUCCUGGUCCAGGAAAUAGCACAGGAAAACUGGGAAUUUCACCACGAGUUUGGUGGGAUUUAGAGUUCUGGCCCUCUUGGUUUUGUUUGCCUCAUACCAUUUCCUUGUAAGACUCCUCAAAGCUUUGCCCCAUUCAUUUCACACUGAUUUAUUGCUGUAUUCAUGGGUGAGAAAGGACAAGGUGUGUUUGUGUCACCUUCUCUGGAACUUAUCAUUCCUCUUAUGUUCACAGAUCCCUUGCCUGUGUGAAAAUACAGUGGUACCCAUGUGGAAACCCAGUGAAGCACUGUGGUUAGACAUUGUGAUGGCUAAUUCUGGUUGUCAACCUGACUGGCAGCUUAGAGGCAGGUGGGAAAUCCAAAGCAGAUAAACAGAGAGAGGAAAGGAGAGGAGAGAUGCCAGCCUGCCGCAGAAGGAGCAGCAAGAUGCCAGCAGACCGAACCACCUUCUUUGAGAUUCCAGCGUAGACUGAAGAUAAGGAGCUUUCCAAGAGUUCUCUGGAAUCCAGCGCCAGACUGAGACAUCCAGACUCACGAGUGGAACCAACACCAGCUUCUCAGCCUUUCAAGCAUGAGGCAGCCAUUGUUGGACUACUGGGACUACAUCCUUGUACAUAUCACUUCUCAGCACUAGCCAUUAGGUGUGAAGCUUCCAGGAGGAAGUUUCUCUGAUGAUGGCUGAGCAAGGCACUGAUCUAAACAGAGAAUGUUGAUUCACCACCAUGCAGUAGAACACGUCUGCCGCGUCAAUGUCUGAAUGGCCUGUGACAGUGUGGUUGUCUUGGCAAUAGCAGCGGCCACCCACGUAAACAUCUGGAAGGCGAAGUGAGACUCACCCAAAGGAGGAGGUUUUGACUGGGAUUGUGAGCAGGUCAUCAGGAGUGCAGUAGAGGGAGCACACGUAGGCGUGGGCUUUCUUACCUGACUACACUUCUGGGAGUUCUGCAGGAGCAUGCGCCUUGUUGGGUGGCUGUGGAAGUGUGUGAACUGCCAUCUUCUUCUGGAGCUCUCUGCCAGCUGGAGGGCCUGGGCAGGACGGAGCUGAAGUUGAGGGGUGUUGAACAGCUGAGGCGUUUGUCAGCACAAGUGGUAUGAGAAUCCAUGACCUCAGUCUUGAGUCUUCCCAUCUGUGGCCUGGGCAGGGUCGGGCUUCCAGGUAUGUGGUGAAAGGCUGUGAGACAGUCCAUGCUCCUGGGGUGGGGGGGUCAUCUGACUGGUGAUGGGUGUCACUGGCUUGUAAUAGGGAAACUGAGGCUAAGUCUCUUAGAAUUCUUGCAGCAUUUCGAUGGAGUGACUCAUAACUGUUGAACCUAUCAGGAGCUGGACUUUGCAUUUUCCAUGCUGUUUUCAUUUGUCUUUUCUAGAAAUAGAUUAUUUUAUAGUACAAAACCAAAACCCAAACAGUUCCCAAUGAAUUGGAAAUUAAAACGCACUUGGAAGUGUCUUCACUAUGAGGGAUUUGAGAGGCAGUGGGAUAACCCAGAGAACAUAACAAAUGCAAUCACACACAGCAAUGAUCCAGUGUAGAUAAACAGCUGGCUGGGGACAGAGGGUGGGCACAGCAAGUUCAGGGAAUGGAAGACAGUGAAUAAACAGGAAACAUAGAUGUUCAUAUACCUGGGGGUUCCCUGGAGUGGACUGAUGACUUUCGGGGGCUCCUGAUGAAAGGGUGCCUGGGUUGGGGGCCCUUUGAUCUGCAUCAGCUGACGGGGCAGACAUUCUCUGUGUGCUUCAACACAGUCCUCUGCUCCUCUGUGGCCUUUCGUGUGAGUUGGGAAGAGCCCACACAGGCCAGUGUGCCUGACCACAUGGAUACCAUUGUCUGCUCAGCCUGUCUGCCUUUGUUCAUCACAUCCUGGUAGCUGAGAAGGACUCUGCAUUUUCACACAUAACCGUACAAUGAAGGGACUGUGAGACUCGGAAUGAACACUUCCUUUCCCUGAGUCUGUUCUGUCCAUAUGUGAGUCGGAAGCUGGUGACAUGACCUCUAAAGUUCCUUUCUGGCUGGACACUGAGGAGGUCUGCAGGCAACCCUGGUGGUUGCUUUUUGUCCCCUUCAUGGUUUUUUGUGCCUUUUCCUGGCUUUGGUUGCCUGGGUCUGUCCACUCUUCCUAUUUACACCCAUGUCUGAACACACCUACCCCUAAUCUCCCCUGCCUCCGGCAAACAUGCAAGGUCUCCAGCACGUCCCUUGGCCAGCCUGGCAGUGUCCUAGCAUUUCUGUUGCAUCUACUGCAGCUAUAUUGUAAACAAAGGGAUCCCUGCCCAUGCUGUCUCUCCCAGCUGAAGUUCUCAACUCUGACUCAGUGGUUGAAUCAAGGCAAAUCACUCCUCAGGUGUGAAGAAAACUAAGCAUCCGAUACCAUGGUGGCCAACUCUGUGCUUCCUCCCAGAGUCCACAGGGGCUGCCAGGUGGGAGGAUCAUAGAUUGGACAGGUGUGUGCCAGGUUUUCAGACGGGACAACUUUCGAAGGUAUUCUCUCUGAAGAUCUUUAAAUGUUCUCAGUAGAGAAAUACUCUUUUUCAAACAGAGCUUUAUCUGCUAAUCCAGUGCAUAAAAUUUUGUGCAAACAAGUAUUUUAUUAAUGUCCCAUCUUAUUUUUAAACUGAUGGUGUUUUUGUUUGUGAUUAAGAAAACCAGGCAACAGAAGCUUCAGGAGAAGCUGGACAAGAGCUUUCCAAUCUCUAUUUUUUCUCUCAGGGAGUCUCCCAAUCUAAUUCAUAAGGUAGCAAUACAAUAACAUUAAAGGUUUUUUUUUUUUUGAGAAAUAAAUUCAGUAUUGAAUUUAAGGAAGACAAACAAAACAAAACAAAGUAACAACAACAACCAACUUUAAAAGGUUUAUCCAAAAGAAUUUGAAAUGUACUUGGGUAGGGGAAAUGGAAGAAGUAUUUUGUAAUUGACUUAAAAUUCAUACAAAAUCAAAGCAACCAUUUGGGCCACUGUGGGAAGUAUAGUUGGGUGGAUGUUAGGGAAAGCAUUAUUGGCUAAUUGUGGAGCAUUUUGCCAUUCCAAAGGACCCUCCUCACUGUGCAUUGUCUCUUGAAAAUCUUGAUGGAGUUCAAAAGGUAUUUGAAUGAAACGGAAACCAACUGGUAUAACAGAGAUAAUUCUGGUCUUUGACCUCUGCUGUGAGGGGUAAAGGUAGACAGUGACAGGGAAACAGAUGACUUAGGACUUGAAUAAUGUGGCAUUGACCACAAAAAAGGCAAAGCGGGGCAUGAUAGUAGAAAAGGGGACAGAUGCCAAGGCCCUGAGGCAGGUGGUGAACUUAGCUGAUUCUACAGAAACAAGACAUGUG